rnacentral:rRNA from 1 species
GAUGAACGCUGGCGGCGUGCCUAUUCCUUCCAAUCGGACGGACAAAUUAAGAACUUUGUCCUCCGACGUUAGCGGCGGGCCGGUGAGGAACCCCUUGGAAACCUACCUAUAAGAAUGGGAUAACUUCGGGAAACCGGAACUAAUUCCGGAUAAUAUAUUUAACCGCAUGGUUCAAUAGUGAAAGGCGGGUUUGGCGUCACCUAUAGAUUGAUCCGCGCCGCAUUAGCUAGUUGGUAAGGUAACGGCUUACCAAGGCAACGAUGCGUAGCCGACCUGAGAGGGUGAUCGGCCACACUGGAACUGAGACACGGUCCAGACUCCUACGGGAGGCAGCAGUAGGGAAUCUUCCGCAAUGGGCGAAAGCCUGACGGAGCAACGCCGCGUGAGUGAUGAAGGUCUUCGGAUCGUAAAACUCUGUUAUUAGGGAAGAACAAAUGUGUAAGUAACUAUGCACGUCUUGACGGUACCUAAUCAGAAAGCCACGGCUAACUACGUG